rnacentral:snRNA from 1 species
GGAUCUCAGCUCACUGCAAGCUCUGCCUUCCGGGUUUNAUCCUUCCUGUGCUCAGUUGAAGAGGAUGACCUUCCCUCAUAAAGGGGGACCAUUCUUUGGUCAAGGGUAUACCAGCAGCUAUGUUCCCCUGCUAGAAUUUCCAAGUAAGCUUUCAAAGAUGCAAAUUCAACCCUCUCUUUGACUGUUAAAACACACGGGCCUGUUUUAAAUCUGCAAUAUUCAAUAGAGAUACAUCCUGAUGUGCCAAUCUUCAAUU